CCUACGGGAGGCAGCAGUGGGGAAUAUUGGACAAUGGGGGGAACCCUGAUCCAGCCAUGCCGCGUGUGUGAAGAAGGCCCUCGGGUUGUAAAGCACUUUCAGUGAGGAAGAACGCCUGGUGGUUAAUACCCAUCAGGAAAGACAUCACUCACAGAAGAAGCACCGGCUAACUCCGUGCCAGCAGCCGCGGUAAUACGGAGGGUGCGAGCGUUAAUCGGAAUUACUGGGCGUAAAGCGCGCGUAGGUGGCUUGAUAAGCCGGUUGUGAAAGCCCCGGGCUCAACCUGGGAACGGCAUCCGGAACUGUCAAGCUAGAGUGCAGGAGAGGAAGGUAGAAUUCCCGGUGUAGCGGUGAAAUGCGUAGAGAUCGGGAGGAAUACCAGUGGCGAAGGCGGCCUUCUGGACUGACACUGACACCGAGGUGCGAAAGCGUGGGUAGCAAACAGGAUUAGAUACCCUAGUAGUC
rnacentral:rRNA from 1 species